GAUGAACGCUGGCGGCGUGCUUAACACAUGCAAGUCGAACGAUGAAGCCCAGCUUGCUGGGUGGAUUAGUGGCGAACGGGUGAGUAACACGUGAGUAACCUGCCCUUAACUCUGGGAUAAGCCUGGGAAACUGGGUCUAAUACCGGAUAGGAGCGUCCACCGCAUGGUGGGUGUUGGAAAGAUUUAUCGGUUUUGGAUGGACUCGCGGCCUAUCAGCUUGUUGGUGAGGUAAUGGCUCACCAAGGCGACGACGGGUAGCCGGCCUGAGAGGGCGACCGGCCACACUGGGACUGAGGGACGGCCCAGACGCCUACGGGAGGCAGCAGUGGGGAAUAUUGCACAAUGGGCGCAAGCCUGAUGCAGCGACGCCGCGUGAGGGAUGACGGCCUUCGGGUUGUAAACCUCUUUCAGUAGGGAAGAAGCGAAAGUGACGGUACCUGCAGAAGAAGCACCGGCUAACUACGUG
rnacentral:rRNA from 1 species